rnacentral:lncRNA from 1 species
AUGAGCUGCCGCCUCCUGCUCCCCCGCUGCUCGGCUGUUAUUUUACACACUGGUGAUACAUCUCUGAAGCCUCUCUUCCCCUUGGUGACCCCACAUGGCAGCCUCAACUGGUCGGCCUGGGGGACUGAGAAGGUGCUAUAGAUGUGACUGAAUGCUGCCAUGAGAGUCCAGCCAUGGAAACACCCCCGACUGGUGCUUCACUGAAGCUGUUGACCCCUGCUUGUAAGUCUUCCUGUGGCAUGGCACUUUGCCGACAAGUGUUCCUGUGUCAGACACCGCUUAGAUGCACAGAUCCCAGCUGUCAUCUCAGCUACAGGGAGAAACCAAAAAUG